rnacentral:rRNA from 1 species
AUUGAACGCUGGCGGCAGGCCUAACACAUGCAAGUCGAGCGAGCGGCGGACGGGUGCGUAAUGUCUGGGAAACUGCCUGAUGGAGGGGGAUAACUACUGGAAACGGUAGCAAAUACCGCAUACCAUCAGAUGUGCCCAGAGGGGAUUAGCUAGUAGGUGGGGUAACGGCUAACCUAGGCGACGAUCCCUAGCUGGUCUGAGAGGAUGACCAGCCACAAUGGAACUGAGACACGGCCCAGACUCCUACGGGAGGCAGCAGUGGGGAAGAUUGCACAAUGGGCGCAAGCCUGAUGCAGCCAUGCCGCGGGUGUGAAGAAGGCCUUCGGGUUGUAAAGCACUUUCAGCGGGGAGGCGUUACCCGCAGAAGAAGCACCGGCUAACUCCGUGCCAGCAGCCGCGGUAAUUC